GACGAACGCUGGCGGCGUGCCUAAUACAUGCAAGUCGAACGCAGUGGGGACGGGUGAGUAACACGUGGGUAACCUCCCAUCAGAGGGCAUAACACUUGGAAACAGGUGCUAAACUGAUAUUGAAGGAUGUAGCCGCGGGGCAUUAGCUAGUUGGUGAGGUAACGGCUCACCAAGGCCACGAUGCCUAGCCGACCUGAGAGGGUGAUCGGCCACACUGGGACUGAGACACGGCCCAGACUCCUACGGGAGGCAGCAGUAGGGAAUAUUGGGCAAUGGACGAAAGCCUGACCGAGCAACGCCGCGUGAGUGAAGAAGGCUUUCGGAUCGUAAAGCUCUGUCGUUAGAGAAGCGGUAUCUAACCAGAAAGCAACGGCUAACUACGUGCCAGCAGCCGCGGUAAUUC
rnacentral:rRNA from 1 species